rnacentral:lncRNA from 1 species
AGUCGAUUGGAAAUAAUCCACUAGAAUAAUUUAAAUGGAGUUCCCCGGAGAAUGAACUCCGGGAAGGUAGAGUAGAAAUUUAUAUGAGAAAAUAUGCUAAAGUAGUCAAAAUGAAUGAACACGUUCAAUUCAAUAAAAAAAGAAAUCUUUUUUUCCGAUUCAUUUUUUUUCUUACGACACGAUACUCAAAUCUAGAUUC